GAGAUAAUCCAUGCAAAUCAGAGGCACUGGCUCCCAGUGCUCGAUUCACAAAGAGAACUCAGCUUCAGGAGGUCACUCGUUCACAGCUGCUCCUCCCAUUAUAUUUUUCCCUUAUUGCAGAACUACUGCAUGUAUACAGUGACUGAAAAGGACUCAAUUCACUGCAACUGCUGCCUGGCUUUACUUACAACUUUCUUUAAAGGGAGACUUACCUUCUAUCACUCUUGCUAAGCAUUUACAGCAAUUCCUAAUUAUAUCCUGAACUAAAAAGACCAUCUCCAUAUGAUGCUCAUACCAUUCCUUCUUAAUGAGGUGAUAAUACUCCAGUGACACCACCUUACCUGAAGCUGGGCAGAAUGAAACCUAAUCUUGGGUAAGAGACCUAGAAGUGAUUGGAGGCGCUACUGUGAUAAACAUAAUUUGCUGGCUUCUUCCUUGCUGUUUCCUUUCAUCCUUUCCUUAAGGCAUUGCUGAUGAAGUUGAGCUGAAGGUAGGGCCCUCUAAAUUUUUCAUGUGCAUUUAUCCCCUGAAUUAAUGUUAUCUUUGGCAAUUUUCACCAGUUAUUCAAUGCAGUGCUGCCUGUCUGCCCUCUGAGCUUUCAGGCUAGCUCAGGACCCAGGCUC